AUGUUCUACACCUUUUCAUAUGGCUUAGCCAGGAUCGUGUAUAAAUCAGGUCUCCUUAGGAAGCUACCUAAAGCUUAUAAGCAGGAACCUGUAUACAUAAUGACAAUUUUAAGAAGAAAAAGAAGGAGAGAAAAAUCAUACAACAUUAAUGUACCGACAACAAUAGUAUUACAUACUAAACACGCACACACACAAAAAAAAAAAAAAAAAAACAAUUUCCCUAGGGCUAGAGAGUUUACAGCUUAGGUAUUGGAAUGUUUGUAUGAAUUGAUUAGAAUGGUUUUUAACAUCUUUUUAAAGGUGGAGAUGGAUUUUAACACUUUCAACUUGUCGUCGAGCUCAUUCCAAAUCUGAGGGCCCCUGCAUACAAUGCUCAGGCUGGUGCUAGCGAGUCUUCUUUUUUUACCACUGAUGAGAUAUUUGUUCCUGAAACUGCUUUUAAAUU